rnacentral:rRNA from 1 species
AUACGGAGGGUACGAACGUUAAUCGGAAUUACUGGGCGUAAAGCGCGCGUAGGUGGUUCGGUAAGUGGGAUGUGAAAGCCCCGGGCUCAACCCGGGAACUGCAUUCCAAACUGCCGGGCUAGAGUAUGGUAGAGGGAGGUAGAAUUUCCUGUGUAGCGGUGAAAUGCGUAGAUAUAGGAAGGAAUACCGGUGGCGAAGGCGGCCUCCUGGACCAAUACUGACACUGAGGUGCGAAAGCGUGGGGAGCAAACAGGAUUAGAUACCCGGGUAGUCC